rnacentral:SRP_RNA from 1 species
GCUGGGCGUGGUGGCUCACGCCUGUAAUCCCAGCACUUUGGGAGGCCGAGGUAGGUGGAUCACCUGAGGUCAGGAGUUUGAGACCAGCCUGACCAACAUGGUGAAACCUGUCUCUA